AGUGGAAUUGCUGGAUCAUAUGGUAAUUCUAUGUUUACAUUUUAAAGGAACUGCCAAACUCUUUUUCACAGUGGCUGCACAAUUUUACAUUUCCACCAGCAAU
rnacentral:pre_miRNA from 1 species